GAUGAAGAACGCAGCGAAACGCGAUAAGUAAUGUGAAUUGCAGAAUCCAGUGAAUCAUCGAAUCUUUGAACGCACAUGGCGCCCGCCAGCAUUCUGGCGGGCAUGCCUGUUCGAGCGUCAUUUCAACCCUCGACCUCCCCUUGGGGAGGUCGGCGUUGGGGACCGGCAGCACACCGCCGGCCCUGAAAUGGAGUGGCGGCCCGUCCGCGGCGACCUCUGCGCAGUAAUACAGCUCGCACCGGGACCCCGACGCGGCCACGCCGUAAAACACCCAACUUCUGAACGUUGACCUCGAAUCAGGUAGGACUACCCGCUGAACUUAAGCAUAUCAAUAAGCGGAGGA
rnacentral:misc_RNA from 1 species